GUGGGCGUAGCUCAGUUGGUAGAGCACCAGGUUGUGGCUCUGGGGGUCGAGGGUUCAAUCCCCUCCGCUCACCCCA
rnacentral:tRNA from 1 species